rnacentral:sRNA from 1 species
GUGACAUACCGAUCGGUACUCGCCGAGGCC